GUGGCACAUGGCAUUAGUCUCCUAUCGCUGCUGUGACAAAGGACCCCAAAUCAGGUGGCUUAAAGCAUCAGGAAUACACAUCCCUGUGUGCUGGAGGCAGGAGUGGGGUCAGGCUGUGGUGGGGAGUGCUCCCUGUAAGGCCCUCAGGAGGACGCUCCUCACCUCCUCGGGUUUCUUGAUUGUAGUCGCCUCCCUCAUCCCAGGACCAAGGCCUUCUGUGUCUCUUUCUCCCCGACAGGGAUGCAGUCGCAUUGGACAAAAGGCCACCCUGGGUCAGUGCCCUCACCCUAAGUGAUCACGUCCAGGAAGGGCCUGUUCUGAAGUCCUGGGAUGGCUUGCUGGUACAGGGUCAAGAGUUGGCGGGGGGCCGGCUAGAGGGGAAAGGCCCAUUUUUGAUUCCCCUCAUUUUCAGGCUCACAGCAGAAAUUUGUCAGCAGUACCACAAGUCAGGUGCCCUGAUUUUUCCCAGGCCACAUGGACGUUUUGACAGGAUUUUCUAGGAAUGGACCUGGCUUCUGGCCAGCUGAGCUGAGCAGUCAGCUGUCAGAGGGUUCCAUGGCUAGUGGAUGGCUCCGGAGCUGGCGGCUCCUUGGUUGUGAUAGGGGUACCGCCUUCACCUCUUCAGUUGGCCCAUAGGAUAGGUGGCAUAGGGUGACACUGCCAGCUGAGAAUGACGUCAUCAACACCAUCAGAUCCCAGCAAGUGCCCAGGUGCAAAGGCAAGGUUCCAAGUGAAACUCCAGUUCUGCGCUCAGGGGCCGAGGUGGGCUCCAGUGCGGCUGUGUGUGGGGAAGGCAGCCUCAUUGUCCUGCCAUCAGAGAUGAGCGUCAGGCUGAGGCCGGCGUCUGAGCUUCCGUGGGACUCAGAAACAAGCCAGAUGGAGCUCACCUCCAGCCUCGUGUCCAGAGCAGAAAGCUUGUCUCAGGCGUCCCCAGGAGACUGACCAACUCCUCCACCAUGGACACGGAGUCUCAAAGGCUCAGGACUUAACCGCCACUGUCGGUGAGAGACGGCAGGGGCGGGCCCACAAUCCCCCUGGCUGCAUCCAGGGUACAGGUUCCUUCCCGCGGGCCUCUGGCAGACACACACAGGUACGUUGUAUCAACCCUUUUAUUAAUUGGGCUAAUUUCCACACGUUUGCUCCGAGGCCUUCAGAGGUUAGCAGGGUGUCUUGCACAGAACGUGCUCGCCCAAAUGGCCCCAGGAGGCUCUUGCUUCUUAAAAAUAUUCUUUUUGCCCUAGCUGUCUUUCUGCCCACUGUUAGCCUGUGGGUAAUCAGCACCUCUCCUCUCCCCUCUUCACAUCCCCUUCUACUCUGCUGCCGCCUGGCAAAUCAACCCAGGAAGGCCUUAGAGCUGGACCUGAGGUGGGGUUUGGCUCUGAGCAAACGACCAGCUGGUUUGCCUGUGUGAAAUGAACACCUUCAUGUUAAAAAGGCUUCUGGACUGUGUCUUAUUCUCGGCUGAGUGCUGGAGGGCUGCGCUUGCCCAAGGCAUGAUGUUGGCCGGCUUCGGACUCGCCCAGCCCAUGCCAGCCCGUGCUCUUUCCAG
rnacentral:lncRNA from 1 species